AGUAUGUGUACGCUAUUUCUUGUUAGUUACUUUGCUUAAUAAUCAUACUGAUUAGUUUCCAGAAAUUUUUACUUCACUGUCAGAAACACUUUCUCACCCAUUUAGCUAAGCUUCCUGAUGUUUCUGCUUAAUGUUAAUCAGGCUGUCUGUUUUGAAGUUUCCAUAUUGGAGUUUGCACCUAAAGAUAUAAAAUCUGUGUGGUAUAAAACCUGGGCCAAGUUACUUGAAGAAAACUGUAUCAUAAAAACUCACAUUGGUGAAAAUGGUUUAUGUUUUUCUACAACUAAAAUAAAAUUUACUCCAAAUGCAACUGACAGAGGGAGAAGGAUCAGAUGUGAGGUUACUAAUCCAACAACUCACUCCCAUAUAGAGAGAGCCUUUGAAUUGAAACUCAGAGAUUUAAAGAUUUCUCAACUAGCUGUGAAUGAAUACCUACUCUGACGGUAAAUCAGAACCACACAAAGCCAUCAACAAACACAGGGAUGGAAAGCCUACUGGGAGAAGUGAGAGAAGGCAAUCAUUCCCUCCUCCAUGCCCUUGAAGGUCUAUCUGUGGGAUCAGGGAUUCAUUUGCUUGGAAGGGGCAUGGCUGGAGAGGCUGUGCCUUGUUACGCUAUCAAAUCUAUAUAUUGAGAACUGACACAAAAAUUAACACUGAUCAGUAAUACUUUGCAUCAGCCCUCUUCACACUUUGGAAACCCCUUGAAGGUAGCAGUGGGGGAUUUUGGGGUCCAUGGCAGGCAAGGCAGCUGGAGAGGCCCAUGGGGACCAGAGAAGGAACGUGACCAGACCAGGCUUCUUCAUGGAUGGACCCAGACUCCGGCACAUCCAUGAGAUAUGGGAUUUGGGGACCUACACCUCUGUUUAUUUAUGUAAGCUUAACAGGCAAUAGUCACAUGUGAACAGAAAAAUUAUGACAUGUAAAAAUGACAACUUGAGCAGCAAAACAUAUCCUAACAUACAGCAAAUAUGAAGGUCCCUGCUUCUGAGGCCUUAUCAUUAUGUAGGCUUAUUUGUAAUCCUGUUUCAUGACAACUGUAUCCUUUUUAGGCCCCAAUCAAAUGGUUCUCAACCUAUAGCCCAAUCAGCACACAGCUGCAGCCCAUGUAACAUCCUCAGGGCCAUACAGAUAGUAUUGGAUGCAGCUCACAAUGGUAAAUAGGUUGAGAAUCACUGCCCUCGCCCUUCUAGUCAAGAGACAGUUAAGACAGAGUGCAGUACUAGGAACUCAAAGGCUGGUGAGGAUGUGACAUUUCACUGUUUUAUAUAGGAAUACAGAUGACAUCUACAUUUCCUGGUUUAAGGGGAAAUAUCUCACCGACGAAGGAAUAGAAAAUGCUGAGUCUGAGGGUGGUUUUAUUUUCUCUGUGACGUUUAAAGCUGAAGAACAAAAUAAAGAAUGCAAGGUCAGAUGUGAGGCUGAUACUGAAGAUGGACCACUAGAAGAAACAUACAUUUUAAAACUUGGAUAAUCUCCAUACCGUGAAGAAGGUGGACAUCAAACAGCAACUCUAUCCCUGACUUUCUAGGGUUCAAUGAACAGUUACUCCGUUCCUUUUAAACUUCUAACCAGAAUGACAGUUAUAAUGAGACAGCAUACACGUGCCAUGGAUGGGAGAACUGGUUCAGAUAUAAUUAAAAAUGAUCUGAACCUCUGCCCAAAAUCCAGACCCAGAAAGAGAGGAAGUUGGGAAAGAAAUUUGAUACACUGGUGGAGGGUGGCAGCAGAAAUCUCAAGUUCAUAUCUCAGCUGGGAUCCAGGAAUGUACCAUUUGUUGGACCUCCAUGGUCCUCAUCCUGACAGAUGUCUCAAAUAAAGCUGGUUGGAAUUCCUCUCUCUCCCUCCCUGCCCCCCUUUGCUGGAAAAUGUUGACCAAAAAAACUUCUAUCUUGUUUUUGUCAAAAAGCUAAAAUAUUUGGCCAAAAUCCAGAAUUGAAAUAUUUUGGGAUUUGGCCAAAUAUUUCAGUUCUGAAAUGCUGCUAGAGUGCUUUAUGGGAGCUGCAGUUUGGGUGCUUCAUGCCCCCAUUCUCCUCUAUAGGCAAGGCUCACUGGUUGGACUACACAGGGGAAGGGAGGCAGUGCACCGUGGUACUCUCAUGGCAGCAGCGUAUAAUGCAAAUUGAAGUAUGGCUGGAGAAUCUGACCCAGAAUGAAAAAUGGGAACACAAAGCACCUGAGCUACAACUCCCAGGUGCCAUCAAGAUGGCAUUUCAGAAUAUAAGUAUUUUAGUUUUUUGCUAUUAUAUUUCAGUUUUCAGAUGUUCUUUUGACAAUAUAUUUAUAAAUAAAUAAAACCUAAGUUUCUGCACAGAAAGCAGACACUUUUUGUGAAAAAUGUUUUGCAAACGCAGUUGUCCAUUUAAAAAAGAGUUUCAACACAAACUCUUUGACUAGCCCUAGUCCUGACUAACCAAGAAGAGCACACCAGCUAAUACCACUAUCUGCAUUAGGUUCAGCUGCAUCCAGAUUGAUGGCUGGACUUACUAUUAUCCUUCCCAGUCAUCCUGUUGUGUCAUUUUUCCUUAUUUUGUCUCUUUCCUUUCUCUUUUUUUGCCUUAGAAUCAUAGAA